rnacentral:lncRNA from 1 species
ACCAUAUGCAAUCACAUAGAUAUGUAUAUAUAUCAUACCGAGAUAGGGAACGAGGUUUGGCAAGCAUUCAAGAACUUUAACCUAGAUUGUGUAGCUUUUGUCAUCCUAAAGGCACCCAUAGGCUAUAUGAGUACAACUACCCCUACUAAAAGGGACCCAGUGUGUGUUAGUUGCACGACCAGAGAAAAAACUAGGAUGACUAGUACAUCUGUAACACCCCAUAAGAUUUUAGCUUAAUCGAGCAUACUAUCAUAUGUAAAGGGUUCCAAGAGUUAGAAAAUUUCACUAAGUGCUAGGAUUUAGUGCCUAAACUUUGAUGAUAUUAUUUUUAACCUUUCCA